UGAGGAAUAUUGCACAAUGGGGGAAACCCUGAUGCAGCAACGCCGCGUGGAGGAUUGAAGAUCCUUGGAUUGUAAACUCCUUUUCUGAGGGACGAGAGAGGACGGUACCUCAGGAAUAAGUCACGGCUAACUACGUGCCAGCAGCCGCGGUAAUACGUAGGUGGCGAGCGUUAUCCGGAUUUACUGGGCGUAAAGCGCAAGCAGGCGGCCUGUUAAGUUCGACGUGAAAUCUCCUGGCUUAACUGGGAGGGGUCGUUGGAGACUGGCAGGCUUGAGGCGAUGAGAGGGGCAUAGAAUUCCCGGUGUAGUGGUGGAAUGCGUAGAUAUCGGGAGGAAUACCAGAGGCGAAAGCGGUGCCCUGGCAUCGGCCUGACGCUCAUGUGCGAAAGCGUGGGGAGCGAACGGG
rnacentral:rRNA from 2 species